rnacentral:misc_RNA from 1 species
UUUCCGUAGGUGAACCUGCGGAAGGAUCAUUACAGUGUUCCCUGCCUUUCGGGGUAGGAUCGCCACCCUUGAUUAUUUAUGAGUGUUGCUUUGGCGGGCCUCGCGGCCUGGCCGCGCCCCGGCUUCGGCGGGGGAGCGCCCGACAGAGGAUUCUACAAACCUGAUUAUUAGUGUCGUCUGAGUACUAUAUAAUAGUUAAAACUUUCAACAACGGAUCUCUUGGUUCUG